rnacentral:rRNA from 1 species
UACGGGGGGUGCAAGCGUUAUUCGGAAUCAUUGGGCGUAAAGGGCGCGUAGGCGGCCACCUAAGUCAGAUGUGAAAGCCCGGGGCUUAACUCCGGAAGUGCAUUUGAAACUGGAUGGCUUGAGUAUGGGAGAGGAAAGCGGAAUUCCUGGUGUAGAGGUGAAAUUCGUAGAUAUCAGGAGGAACACCUGUGGCGAAGGCGGCUUUCUGGACCAAUACUGACGCUGAGGCGCGAAGGCGUGGGGAGCAAACAGG